ACGAACGCUGGCGGCGUGCUUAACACAUGCCAGUCGCACGGAAAGGCCCUGCUUUUGUGGGGUGCUCGAGUGGCGAACGGGUGAGUAACACGUGAGUAACCUGCCCUUGACUUUGGGAUAACUUCAGGAAACUGGGGCUAAUACCGGAUAGGAGCUCCUGCUGCAUGGUGGGGGUUGGAAAGUUUCGGCGGUUGGGGAUGGACUCGCGGCUUAUCAGCUUGUUGGUGGGGUAGUGGCUUACCAAGGCUUUGACGGGUAGCCGGCCUGAGAGGGUGACCGGCCACAUUGGGACUGAGAUACGGCCCAGACUCCUACGGGAGGCAGCAGUGGGGAAUAUGGCACAAUGGGCGGAAGCCUGAUGCAGCAACGCCGCGUGCGGGAUGACGGCCUUCGGGUUGUAAACCGCUUUCGCCUGUGACGAAGCGUGAGUGACGGUAAUGGGUAAAGAAGCACCGGCUAACUACGUG
rnacentral:rRNA from 1 species